GACGAACCGUGCAAACGUUAUUCGGAAUCACUGGGCUUAAAGGGCGCGUAGGCGGGCCGCCAGGUCCGGGGUGAAAGCCUCCAGCUCAACUGGAGAAGUGCCUUGGAUACCGGCGGCCUCGAGGGAGGCAGGGGCGUGCGGAACUUCGGGUGGAGCGGUGAAAUGCGUAGAUAUCCGAAGGAACACCGGUGGCGAAAGCGGCGCGCUGGACCUCUUCUGACGCUGAGGCGCGAAAGCCAGGGGAGCAAACGGGG
rnacentral:rRNA from 1 species